rnacentral:rRNA from 1 species
GACGAACGCUGGCGGCGUGCUUAACACAUGCAAGUCGAACGGAAAGGCCCUGCGUUUUUGCGGUGCUCGAUUGGCGAACGGGUGCGUAACACGUGUGUAACCUGCCCUUCUCUUUGGGGUAACUUCAGGAAACUGGGGCUAAUACCGGAUAGGAGCUCCUGCUGCGUGGUGGGGGUUGGAAAGUUUCGGCUGUUGGGGCUGGACUCGCGGCUUAUCAGCUUGUUGGUGGGGUAGUGGUUGACCAAGGCUUUGACGGGUAGCCGGCCUGAGAGGGUGGACGGGCACAUUGGGACUGCGAGAGGGCGCAGACUCCUACGGGAGGCAGUAGGGGGGAAUAUUGCACAAUGGGCGGAAGUCUGAUGAAGAAACGCCGCGUGCGGGAUGACGGUCUUCGGGGUGUAAACCGCUUCCGCCUGUGACGAAGCGUGAGUGACGGUAACGGGUAAAGAAGCACCGGCUAACUACGUG